AUGAACCCUUCUUCGGCCCCCGGUCCGGAUGGCCUCCAAGUGAAGUUCUUCCAGCCUUUCUGGGAGGUAAUAAAACCGGAGGUGAUGGCCUUGUCUGAGGAAUUCUUUGUAGGAUCCAUUGACCUCACCAGGCUGGACUUUGGGAUCAUCACCCUCAUCCCCAAAGUAACUGGGGCUUCGGAUAUUCGCCAGUUUCGGCCGAUUACGGUGAUUAAUGUCAUCUUCCGCAUCCUCGCGAAGGGGUACGCCCUUAGGGUGGCCCCCAUUGCCGACAGGAUCACUCACCCUGAUCAGUCG
rnacentral:rRNA from 1 species